CACGUAGGCGGACUGAAAAGUCAGAGGUGAAAUCCCAGGGCUCAACCUUGGAACUGCCUUUGAAACUCUCAGUCUUGAGAUCGUGAGAGGUGAGUGGAAUUCCGAGUGUAGAGGUGAAAUUCGUAGAUAUUCGGAGGAACACCAGUGGCGAAGGCGGCUCACUGGCACGAUACUGACGCUGAGGUGCGAAAGCGUGGGGAGCAAACA
rnacentral:rRNA from 1 species